GCGGAGUCACCAAGGAAAGGCUUCUUCUUGGCCAAUGAGAGGCCAGGGCAGAAGAUAGGAGGCGGGCUUCCGGACAGAACACUCUUCAAGAGGACUCUUACUUCUCCCCAUGCAAAAAGAAAAAAAAUAUGACCGGUAAUCUUCACCCAGAAACUUACCAUGGGAACACUUGCGAUGUGUCACCGAAAGGGAGGUGCCAUUACAUUUCGUGGGCCUUCUGUCCUGUGAAAAAAGACUCGUCUGAAGCUCUCACUCACCUGCGGCUGAACCUGAGGGAAGUCCGGCCUGUUCUCCAACUUCCAAGGGUCAUCGGAGAUGGCCCGAAGCAAG